CAGACCAAGAACUACGAGAUCGC
rnacentral:siRNA from 1 species